CUCCAAUCUUGCUCAAAUGAUUCCCCCCCCCAAGCAAAAUCACGGAUGAAAGAGCCACCUGCGGCUCUUGGGCCAUGGAUUGCAGACCCCCGACCGAGGGGCACAAGCAGUCCAGAAGCCUGCGCAUGUUUGAGUCCUGACCGCACCAGGGCCGCUGAAGGCUUGAACUUGACUUUGUCCCAGGACUCCAUGGUGGACUCGAUCCCUCCACUGGAAGAGAACACAUUAAACCGCAUGAGCACAAAAAUCACAGUUGAUCACAAUGGAUGCAGAUAAAUGUCAGCAACUUGGAGGAAUUACAAUUUGUAUAUCAAUAUAUAUCAUCAUUUUUUUUUCUCUUUAACGUCCACAGAUACCUUUUCGUGUAUUAACGUUGGAGUGUCGUUGGCGUCGAUCCACUUUUUAAAAGCGUCGUUCGACUUGAAAACUCAACGGUGAAACUGUCAAGCUCGCACUUGUGUCGCACACCACAUAAACAUCCCCCGCGACGGUUCUUAUCCGGUUCAUUGGGAAGUCUUUCCGGUUGCUGCCAAACUGUGAUUCGACAAACUGUCGCUGGUGUCCACAAUGUAAGGACGGUUUCUCCAGGUCGCUGUUGGGCGUCAAUUUACAACCCCGACAUCUUCCUCGCAGUUCCUCCCUGCGAUGUUUUUCUCGACAGUCAGACUUCGUUCGAUUAGCGUGCGAUGCCACAUGACACCACAAGGUGGCGGGAGUGCGCCAACCCAGCUCUCUCUCUGAACUUGGACUCGAAUGAUACGUCGGACGGGUUCGUGCGCUCACGUCCGCUCCGCCGCCGUCGCGCUCGACACUUCAGCGGCUCCCGAAUGUCGUCGGCGAUCUUGCGUCCGACUUGAGUUCGUUCAUCCCUAAAAUGUCAUCGCAACUUUUACUGCCCAAUAAAUGAUUCAACUGGACUCGUGUUUUCGUCCUGAGUCUGGCCCGUCCGUCUUCAUUUGGAGCCUUUCGGGCAUCGCGGACGGCUCUUCAAAAGCCGCUUUGAGUCUCGAGAGUAGAUGUUAAGCAACAGACAUGAAAUCACAAAGUAAACCAAGACGAAGUCUGACGACAUCAAGAAGUCUCCUCGUCGCCGCCCGGUGAAGUGGUCGGCCGUUGGGACGAGAGCUUGGACCGGUGUCCGGACCCAAGACAAACAUCAGUGAGUCCAAAGUUAGGUCAAACUUUUGUGCAGCAAAUCAUCUUUGACGUGAAACCUUCCAGCGAGGAAGACUGGCGACUUGUUUUCUGGGCCUUUGAGGACUGACUGAUGGCUGAGUGACCGGGAAGCCGAUCGGGUUCCUCAGCAACUCUGGAAGGAGGAGGAAGAACAAACUCAAUCACAUGAGACGUUUCGAAGAGUCGAGCAUCCAGGGGUCAAAGUUCUGCAGCGUUUUACCUCAGAAGACUGAUGGCGCCAUUUGCACGACGACUGGAAAGAUGAACGGCAGAAGGAAGCAGGUUGAGCGGACCAAGAGGAACCUUCUUCGGAUCAAAGUGCUUCAGAGGACCCAUCGCUGGACUGGAUGCACGAGACCUGAACACCAGAGGAGGACCGGGGAAAACGGUCAAGCUGAUGCUUUCAGGUGCAGGGUCUUGGUGGCAGUCCCGAUGACACUUUGACUGGAAGGUGAUCUGCAUGUGGAGUCAAAACAGAAAAAGAUAAGGACUUGGAUUCAGCCACUCUGCCAAAAAGGCUCAAACCCUGAAGCAAAGUGACUUCAGGAGAUGACUAGGAUCAGGUUCUCCAGCGCCACCUGGUGGACAAACAGACUGGCGCCUCCUGCUUGAACAGUCUUCCUAUCAAACAGACCUUCAGAGUGGACUGGCGGCGCAGAGAUUUCUCCGGGAGACCUGAACACAAGAUAUGACCGCGGAACCAGUCAAGUUGCUGUUUUUGAAUCGGUGCAGGAUCUUGGUGGCAGUCCCGAUGGCACUUGGACCGGAAGGUUCAAGACUUGGAGGUCGACGGUCGGGUUCUCCUGUGCCACCUGACAGACUUUGACUUCAAGAACAUUCAAAUGUCCAGGUUCCAGGCUUUGAGAUUGACUUCACCAGCUGAGCCGCGAUCAGGUUCUCCAGGAUUCUUCAGCACCACCCGGUGGACGUUGGUAGCAAGAACAUCCAAGUGUCCAGGAGCAAAAAGGUCAAGACCUUGUUCUGGCUGGAGUGCGACUUUGGGGUAACUGCAGAAGAGAAAAGAUGUUAAGCUGCUCAAUUGCUGUUGGGAGGGUUUUGUUUCUUAUAGCCACCAUCUCGUUCCUCAGGUCCCCGUGACUGCAGAACUGCUGACCAAGAGACCUAAACAAGAGAUGGACCAGUCAAGUUGCUUUCUACAGGUGCAGGAUCUUGGUGGCCAAGUCCCCAAUGGGACCUGCAACAGGAGCAAAAAGAAACUCCAGGUCCAAGCCUGGAGAGUGCAAUGUCAAAGACAACCAUUUUGGCUUUUGGCUUGUUCCUCAGCUCUCCAUUAAGUCGAGGGGGUCACGACUGCAGAUGGAGGGGAAAAAAAAAAAAAAAAAAAAGCCCGC